UUGGACAAGUGAUUGCUGAUAAUCAGAUGGCAUGAUUUACCUUUUGAAAGCCAUGGAACAAUUUCUAGAGAACACCAAUAAUGUAAAUGAUGACUAGAGCUCCCUAUAGUGUAAAUGCUUAUUUCAUUCAGUCUUCAAACCCUGGGUACAGAGAAAACAAAUAGAGCAGAGAAAACAAGGGAAGCAGGCCAGAGGAAAGAGCAAACUUGGCCAAAGGAGAAAAAGUAAGGAGGAAAUUCUGGCUACAGCAGAGGAAUGCAGGACAAACGGGUCAGAGGACUCAAAGACAGAACAUUUUCCUGAGAAAUGACUCCUACCCUUGGGUCGAGUGAAGCCCUGUUACAUCCAUCUCCAACAUCCAGUACAAGACCUCUCUUUCUCAAAUGGCUUUCCCUGGUGGGGAAGCCAUAUAUUUUUCUACUUCUUUACACUGUUUAUUCUCCUGUGUAGUUUAGUUUCUUUAAUUAAUGUUUAAUCUUCUUGUGUUUAUGCCUCAAGGCAGAGCCUAUGAAGGGCGCUGAGUUCAAAAUCAUAGCCUCAUGAUACUCCAUAGGCUUCACAUUAAAUAGCCAUGACAGUUCAAAGGAAAGACCAAAAUCCUGCUCUCUGCUCAGACUACUGGGGAUACAGGGCUAGUCUGUGCAGACCCUGGCUUCUAAAUCCAUCAUUUUCUUUUUAUUCUCCAACAGUUCUACAGCUAGAUGACUGUUUCUGCUCCCUCUUUCCCAGGGAGGGACUGCAUUCUGCGAGAAAAUGGCUCCGUCACUCAAGAGUGAUGAAAUCAGUAGAGCAAAGGCUGGGCUAGAAAUGAUUACUUAGUGCCCGUGAGGAGACGCCAGUGGAGACUCCAUACAUAAGGACCUGAAAGGAAAGGAAAGGAGACUUUCUGCUGCUUACAGUAUCUGAGGGAAUCAUCUGACAGCUUAUUUAUUAAAUGCAUUUCAAUAUUAAUUCUCCUCUGUGCCAGAGCUGACCUUCAAAAAUAUUUACAGGGAGAAAGCAGGCAUGGGAAGAAAACAGCACUUCAGCCCAUUUUCUCCUGUACAGUUACAUAUGAAAUCAGUUAAAAUUAAAUACUAGGCUAGGUAGCUGAUCUUGUAAGAUAGAGCCUAAAUUAGAUAUCAAGAUAAAUUAGUACCCAAUUAAUUGAGAUCCAAAUUGUUUGUCUCUCUGUAUACUUUGGAGAAGAAUAGAUCACAGGACCGUACAACAGCAUAAAGAAGUGUUCAGCUCUUUCUCAAACCGGUUCUGAGUCUAAAAUGUAUUUUAUCUUCUCAGUCCCAUGAAAUCAUAGCUUCCUGAUGAGAGCUGGUCUCCAGCCAGGCACCUAGUAAACGUACAAUUACAUGUAAUAUCCUAUAUGCACUCAGUCAAAGCUCGGGCUAAAGAAGCUCUCCCAAAGAGAAGAGUUUUUGUUUUUGUUUUUAUAAAUUUGUGGUAAAUACUCAGAAUACAAAAGUUACCAUCUUAACCAUUUUUAAGUGUACAGCUCAGUGGUGUUAAAUACAUUCAUGUCACUGGGCAACCAUCACCGCCUUCUACCUCCAGAACCCUGCUCACCUUGCAAAACUGGAAUUCCAUUCCCAUUAGACAGUACCAUCCCAUUCUAAACCAUGUAAUUCCUAAGCAGGACAUUUCGGUACCUGGAGAUUUCUAUUCUUUAAAGAUAUUAUUGAAGUUUUAUUCUUACAUAGGAAAAAAUUAGGACUAACUUCUCUGAUGAGUUCACUUCACAAUUAAACCUGGUUCGUGCAUUACACCUAGGUAACUGUUAUGUUGUUCCAGAAAGUCAUGUUUAAUCCUCACAUAGCAAUGCUGAUGGGUGACCAGUCAAUGAAGAUAGCCUGCUAUGAAUGAGAAGUGGUAGGCAAAACUCUUUCAUUAGUGGUUCUCUCAAUCGGUUUUUACCAUGACUUAGGAUUAGAGCUGUUUCCCUGAGGAUCGAGAAGACAAAUACCCAUGAAACCACAUUUAAACUCUUUAAGGCACAAGGAGAAAUGACUAGCCAAAUAUUUUUAAUAAAAAAGUGACUGUGGUGUUCCAGAAAUGUAUCAUAAGUCAAACUAAACCCUGACAGCACAAUAGCUAACCAGCAGCAACCCUGAGACAGGUGGGUGGCGGGCUCUGGUCCUUAUCCAGCAGCAAGCCUGCAAGAGGGCAUGGGUGUUCUCUGGAGCAUCUGCAGAAGAUGAAGCUCUGUGUCAGUCUUUCUUGGUUUGGAGUCAUUAGCUCUAGGGAGUGAGGAUAUUAGAAAACCUUUCAAGCCACAAACCACACAUCUUAGGGAGAUAGCUAAUUAGAAUUCACCCUAAACUGUGAAAGAAUUAACAGACAUUAAAUAACCAUUAUUUAUAAUUGAAGCAUCAAGUUACCCAAAAGAAAAAAAAAAAAAAGGGCAAAGCUCAGAUUGCCUUGGUUAAUGUUUAAUUUAGAAAAAUAAAAGAGUAUGUAGUUCCCCAAAUGACCAGUAACUUAUGUUCCCAAAAUUAGUAGCUUACAGACUAUGUUUCUGAAAUAGCAACACUAACACUAUGAUUAGAGCAUUCAUUCUUAAAGGAGUGCACAUUUUACCCAUAUGUAGCCCAAGUAGAGCAUAUCUGGCCUGGCCUAAGUUCUGCAAGAAUGGCCAAAGCAGAGUGGAGC